AAGCCAGUGGUGAACUCCACAUACGCAUCCUUUGCUGAGGAUACGGUUAACGGAGCGAAAGCGACGUUCAACCGCAAAAGAAGCAGAGGGGGCUUAGUGGUGGGGUGACUGCGUACCUUUUGUAUAAUGGGUCAGCGACUUAUAUUCUGUAGCAAGGUUAACCGAAUAGGGGAGCCGUAGGGAAACCGAGUCUUAACCGGGCGUUAAGUUGCAGGGUAUAGACCCGAAACCCGGUGAUCUAGCCAUGGGCAGGUUGAAGGUUGGGUAACACUAACUGGAGGACCGAACCGACUAAUGUUGAAAAAUUAGCGGAUGACCUGUGGCUGGGGGUGAAAGGCCAAUCAAACCGGGAGAUAGCUGGUUCUCCCCGAAAGCUAUUUAGGUAGCGCCUCGUGAAUUCAUCUCCGGGGGUAGAGCACUGUUUCGGCUAGGGGGCCAUCCCGGCUUACCAACCCGAUGCAAACUGCGAAUACCGGAGAAUGUUAUCACGGGAGACACACGGCGGGUGCUAACGUCCGUCGUGAAGAGGGAAACAACCCAGACCGCCAGCUAAGGUCCCAAAGUCAUGGUUAAGUGGGAAACGAUGUGGGAAGGCCCAGACAGCCAGGAUGUUGGCUUAGAAGCAGCCAUCAUUUAAAGAAAGCGUAAUAGCUCACUGGUCGAGUCGGCCUGCGCGGAAGAUGUAACGGGGCUAAACCAU
rnacentral:rRNA from 1 species